UACGGGGGGGGCAAGCGUUGUUCGGAAUUACUGGGCGUAAAGGGCUUGUAGGUGGCCAACUAAGUCAGACGUGAAAUCCCUCGGCUUAACCGGGGAACUGCGUCUGAUACUGGAUGGCUUGAGUGUGGGAGAGGGAUGCGGAAUUCCAGGUGUAGCGGUGAAAUGCGUAGAUAUCGAGAGGAACACCAGUGGCGAAGGCGAGUCCCUGGACAACGCCUGACACUGAGGAGCGAAAGCGUGGGGAGCGAACAGG
rnacentral:rRNA from 1 species